GGAGCCGACACCGCUCCUUUUUUCCACACAUCAUCAACAUCGUUACCAAGGCUCUUCCUGACAUGACAGCUCCCCAGCAGAACAAUGCAUAUCUUCAUGCUGCUUGUGUAAUGGCUCCAGAUGACAAUGUGACAGCAGAGAACAAUAUACCAG